rnacentral:rRNA from 1 species
UACGAAGGGGGCUAGCGUUGCUCGGAUUUACUGGGCGUAAAGGGCGCGUAGGCGGACAGUUUAGUCAGAGGUGAAAGCCCAGGGCUCAACCUUGGAAUUGCCUUUGAUACUGGCUGUCUUGAGUACGGGAGAGGUGAGUGGAACUCCGAGUGUAGAGGUGAAAUUCGUAGAUAUUCGGAAGACCACCAGUGGCGAAGGCGACUCACUGGACCGUUACUGACGCUGAGGCGCGAAAGCGUGGGGAGCAAACCGG